rnacentral:rRNA from 1 species
GAUGAACGCUGGCGGCGUGCUUAACACAUGCAAGUCGAACGGUGAAAGAGAGCUUGCUCUCUGGAUCAGUGGCGCACGGGUGAGUAACACGUGAGCAAUCUGCCCCUGACUCUGGGAUAAGCGCUGGAAACGGCGUCUAAUACCGGAUACGAGCUGCGAAGGCAUCUUCAGCAGCUGGAAAGAACUUCGGUCAGGGAUGAGCUCGCGGCUUAUCAGCUUGUUGGUGGGGUAACGGCUCACCAAGGCGUCGACGGGUAGCCGGCCUGAGAGGGUGACCGGCCACACUGGGACUGAGACACGGCCCAGACUCCUACGGGAGGCAGCAGUGGGGAAUAUUGCACAAUGGGCGAAAGCCUGAUGCAGCAACGCCGCGUGAGGGACGACGGCCUUCGGGUUGUAAACCUCUUUUAGCAGGGAAGAAGCGAAAGUGACGGUACCUGCAGAAAAAGCACCGGCUAACUACGUG